GGAUUGUGGCUUAGUGGUAGAGCACUUGCCUAGCAUGGGCGAGGCCCUGGGUUCAAUCCUCAGCACCA
rnacentral:tRNA from 1 species